ACUGCGAGCUGAGGUAAGUCAACUUGUAACUAUUAAAAAAACUUAACUGCUGAAGUAAAUGUAUAACAAAGCAUGGCUGACAAGUAUACGUUUUUUCUUUUAUGCGUGGUGGUGCUCUGGUUAAAGACUGCGAGCUGAGGUAAGUCAAGUUGUAACUAUUAAAUAAACUUAACUGCUGAAGUAAAUGUAUAACAAAGCAUGGCUGACAAGUAUACCUUUGUUGUUUUAUGCGUGGUGGUUAGGGGUUGCGAGUGGAGACUGCGAGCUGAGAGGCUGCAAGAGCGGAGGCGGCUGCGAGAGCGGAGGCGAGAUGCCGCGACCGAAGAAGAGGGCGACGAUAGCCAAACGGCUAUAUGCACAGAGAUGUGCAAGUACAGAGGCUGCACCGCUUCCUCUUAAAAUAAGUCAAGCAGAGGCUGCACCGCUUCCUCUUAAAAUAAGUCAAGCAGAGUUUCCGCCACUCUCUCUUGAAAAAAGGGCAGAGGCUGCACAACCCCCUCUUAAAACAUGCAGGGUCGAGGUAACGCCGCUUCCUCGUAAAAAAAUGGCCGACUGCUCCGGCAGUUGUAAUCCCGGUCCCGCCCAGCAGGUUCCACCCCUUCCUGCAAAAACAAACGGGAAAGAGGCUGCACCGCUUCCUCUCAAAACAAGUCAAGCCGAGGUUAUACCAACUCCUCGUAAAAAAAAAGGUCGGUUUUGCCAUCGUGUAGAAACCACCCAACAGGUUCCACCCCUUCCUGUGGGCACGAUUGGGGUAGAGGCUGCACCGCUUCCUCUCAAAACAAGUCAAGCCGAGGUUAUACCAACUCCUCGUAAAAAAAAAGGUCGGUUUUGCCAUCGUGUAGAAACCACCCCUCAACAGGUUCCGCCCCUUCCUGUGGACGCGAUUGGGGUAGAGGCUGCAGCGCUUCCUCUUAAAACAAGUCAAGCCGAGGUUAUGCCACAUCCUCGUAAAACAAUAGGCGGUUUUUGCCAUCGUGUAGAAACCACCCCUCAACAGGUUCCACCCCUCCCUGUGAAUCCAAUUGGGGUAGAGGCUGCACCGCUCCCUCUUAAAAGAAAGCGAGCACCAACCAAUGAGCGAACACGUUCAUUGGAUAACUAUACAAUCUCAUUUACUUCUCAUGAAAUCUCAUUUACUUCUCAUGAAAUCUCAUAUACUUCCAACAAACUAUCAGAAAACAACCCAAAUUUCCACAGGUCUGAUCAAUCUCAAAGUUCCAGAGAAUCUGAAGAAAGGUUUGCUAUCCCAUCAAAAUUGAAUGCGAAUGCUUUGAACACUUUAAAUGUGUGCUCUGAUUCUCCACAGAAAGCAGUGCUAAAAGGUUCUUUUAAUCAAGAUGAUGCCCGCUUUGGUGAUUCCAGUUUUCCAUCCACGUCUGGUAAAGCCCUUUACAGUGAAGUAUUAAAACGCUCUCCCAAGGUCUGUGAAUCCGUAAAGACUGAGGUAAGGCCAACUGAUUUUCAAGUAGACUCUGGCAAACCCCGGCAACCCCAGAUGAAGCACCCCAUGAAAACCCCACUAAAAUCCAUGAAAAAACAUAUCCAAACUGAACAAAACAUUCCUGCAAUUUGCCAUGAAAGUGCUUUGAGUGCUUGUUGUGAUUUUCCACAGAAAUCCAUGCUAAAAGGGUCUUUUGAUCAAGCUGAUGCCCGCUUUGGAGAUUCACGCAACAGGCAGUGUGGCGCCAUCGGUCUCACGGCAGUGUUGAAAAGCAAGCUGAAGAAUGUGCUGACGUGGACUACACAAGAUCUGGACGGUGUCUUGGUUGAAGGAACACGUCUUUACGAGUCUCUAAGAAAACAUGGUAACAUAAAAGACAGAGAAGUCAAGGGUAGGAAUUACAUUGCAGUCCAUGAAUUACCGAGGAGACACAUGUUGGGUAAUACUACAUUCUCCAUCGAGUACACUCCGUCUCUGACUGGUUUUGUUAAUGUCAAUGAGUACCAUGAGUAUGAUCAAGCCAUAAGCGGUGUAGCCAUGCCACUUGAUGUAGCCCUUCAGCAAGCUCUACUGAGUGCUGAUGCUUUCCUGUUAACUAUUUGUGCUAACACAUCCGCAGUUAUUAAGCAGGGGUCAUGGUAUGCAGUCGUUGACUCUCAUGCCAUCGUGACAGAUACGAGUUGUGUAGUCUAUCACAGUACCAUAGAGUCUCUGUACAACUAUAUCAAUGACGUAGCACAGUUGUUUGGGGAUCCUGAGCCACCAUUUGAGAUAACUGGAGUUUUGG
ensembl:lncRNA